UGAGGAAUAUUGGUCAAUGGGUGCAAGCCUGAACCAGCCAUCCCGCGUGAAGGACGACUGCCCUAUGGGUUGUAAACUUCUUUUGUAUAGGGAUAAACCUACCCUCGUGAGGGUAGCUGAAGGUACUAUACGAAUAAGCACCGGCUAACUCCGUGCCAGCAGCCGCGGUAAUACGGAGGGUGCAAGCGUUAUCCGGAUUUAUUGGGUUUAAAGGGUCCGUAGGCGGACUUAUAAGUCAGUGGUGAAAGCCUGUCGCUUAACGAUAGAACUGCCAUCGAUACUGUAAGUCUUGAGUAUAUUUGAGGUAGCUGGAAUAAGUAGUGUAGCGGUGAAAUGCAUAGAUAUUACUUAGAACACCAAUGGCGAAGGCAGGUUACCAAGAUAUAACUGACGCUGAGGGACGAAAGCGUGGGGAGCGAACA
rnacentral:rRNA from 1 species